rnacentral:rRNA from 1 species
GGUUGAUCCUGCCAGUAGUCAUAUGCUUGUCUUAAAGAUUAAGCCAUGCAUGUCUAAGUAUAAGCAAUUUAUACAGCGAAACUGCGAACGGCUCAUUAAAUCAGUUAUAAUUUAUUUGAUAGUACCUUUUUCUACAUGGAUAACCGUAGUAAUUCUAGAGCUAAUACAUGCUAAAAAGGCUGGGGGACAUUUGUUCCUUUGGUCUGUAUUUAUUAGAUUUAAAAACCAAUACAGGGAAACCUGGUUCUUUGGUGAAUCAUAAUAACUUUGCGAAUCGCAUGGCCUUUGUG